UACGGAGGGUGCAAGCGUUAUCCGGAUUCACUGGGUUUAAAGGGUGCGUAGGUGGGUCUGUAAGUCCGUGGUGAAAUCUCCGAGCUUAACUUGGAAACUGCCAUGGAUACUAUAGGUCUUGAAUACUGUGGAGGUCAGCGGAAUAUGUCAUGUAGCGGUGAAAUGCUUAGAUAUGACAUAGAACACCAAUUGCGAAGGCAGCUGGCUACACAAAUAUUGACACUGAUGCACGAAAAGCGUGGGGAUCAAACAGG
rnacentral:rRNA from 1 species